rnacentral:tRNA from 1 species
GCCCCCUUAGCUCAGCGGUAGAGCACUUCCAUGGUAAGGAAGGGGUCCGCGGUUCGAUUCCGCGAGGGGGCU